UGGCACAACAGCUAUUGCAUGCAGGAUUUCGAUCCGUCGGACAUGUCAUUUCUCGACAUCGUCGUCCUGAAUGCAAGAAGGAAAUAAGAAGAGAGCGUAAUAAUUAGCGCUUUGCAGUCUGCUGACGACACAACAGCCGUCGCAUGGAUCGAUUUCGAUCAGUCAGAUGAUUCGUCGGUUUUUGACAUUUGUCAUCCUGAAAUGCAAGAAGGAAGGGAAGACGUUUCGAAUUGCUGUUUCAAUAAAAAAGAGUCAUUAAAAUAAAAUAUAUAUAACACGGAAAUUGAUCUAUUUCAGAAAACUAAUAAUUAGCGCUUGUCUUUGCCAACGGCACAAGUAUAAGCGUCGCAUGAAAUUGACGAAUUUCGAUCCGUCGGACAACACCGGUCGAGUCCGUUUCCUGGUAUCGACGUCUUAAAUGCAAGAAUUUUUCGAACCAUUGUGUUGAUAAAAAAAAGGUCAUUGAGUGUGAGAUAAAAGUAGAAUAUGAAAGUCAAUUAUACUUUCGGAAACGCGUAAACUGACGCUUUGCAGUGUGCCGACAGCACGCUGCCGUCGCGCGAUAAUAAGUAUGAAGCAUUAAUUUUAUCGACACAAUUUUAUAUAGACCGCAGUUUGUAUUUUUAUAGAUAAAAGUGUAAAUAAUUGUAAAUAUGAUAAAUCAUUGUGAACGUCUCAAUGGAAACAACACAAUUAAACAGCUCUCAAAUCUU